UACGUAGGGCGCAAGCGUUAUCCGGAAUUAUUGGGCGUAAAGAGCUCGUAGGCGGUUUGUCGCGUCUGCCGUGAAAGUCCGGGGCUCAACUCCGGAUCUGCGGUGGGUACGGGGCAGACUAGAGUGAUGUAGGGGAGACUGGAAUUCCUGGUGUAGCGGUGAAAUGCGCAGAUAUCAGGAGGAACACCGAUGGCGAAGGCAGGUCUCUGGGCAUUAACUGACGCUGAGGAGCGAAAGCAUGGGGAGCGAACAGG
rnacentral:rRNA from 1 species